ensembl:snoRNA
AUAUAUGCAGGUUAUGACUUCACUUUUUUCCCCAUUGGAUCGACCAUGUCGAUCUCCUAGGAUGUUUGUCAGUUUGUGCUGAUGCUUGGGG